GGCCGACGUAGAAGAGCUGGCGGCCCCAGCGGAUCAGGCAGAGGAAGCGAGGCGAAGAGAAGGAGUUUUGGGUCUCGGCGGCCGCCGUAGGAGCGGCGCUCUGAUCCCCAUGGCAACAGGGAGAAGCAGCGGGAGGUUUCUGGGCGGCGCAUCUUCCGCGGCGGAUUGGACUGAGUGCGGCGCGGAAUUCGUGAACCGCCCGCGGCCCCGAGGGUGCAGCUCUUGGACUGACUGGCGCUGUCCUGCCCCAUGGACGCCUCCUCUAGCCCAUGGAAUCCAACCCCGGCUCCUGUCAGCACUCCUUCCCUGCUGCUCCCCAUCCCCGCCAUCGUCUUCAUCGCUGUGGGCAUCUAUUUGUUGCUGCUGGGCCUAGUGCUGCUGACUAGGCACUGCCUGCUGGCCCAGGGCUGCUGCACAGACUGCAGCUCCCCCUGCAGGAAGCAAGGCACCUCCAGACCCCAAGACUGUUGCUGGACCUGCGCAGAAGCCUGCGACUUCCCUCUGCCUAGCCCAGCCCACUACCUGGAUGCCUGCUGCCCCCAGCCUACCGAACCUGGUUGGGCCCCUCGCUGCCCUCGCUGCUGCCCACUCUGCGACUGUGCCUGUGCAUGCCAGCUUCCUGACUGCCAGAGCCUCAACUGUCUCUGCUUCGAGAUCAAGCUCCGAUGAGGACCCGGAGUCCCUGCCCUUUGGGGAGCGGCCAGCCCCCGGGGCCCACAUGCCCUCUUCCCUGAGGGGCCUCAGGACACUUUUCUCCAGGCCACUGGAACCACACAUGGCCUGGCCAGCUCACCAGCCUGGGAACCAGCCGUGGAGAGCCUGGCUCCCUGCAGGGCAGGACUCAGAGAGCCCUUGGCUGGCUGGACUGCAGCCCCUUUGGAGGGCCAGAAGAGAGAGGGGCUAGUGCUCUGGCAGAUGCCCCUGCCCCCCACUCCCCCUCCCCAAGUAAUCUAUUAUAUUUGAAGAUUUCUGUCCAAAGAUUUCUCUUGACCUUUUGAGGGCCUCAGUCUGAAUUUCCAAGGAAGAAAUUUCUUCUGAAGUACCGGUGAGUGGGCAGGGGGCCCUCCUCCCCACCCCCCAAAUAGGGCAGGCCCACAGCUUCCUCCCCCUCCCCUCAUUUUAGGCCCCACGCUGGCGUGAAUGUCAGGGGCUUCAGGUUUCCCUAAAUAUAGGUCCCUGCCAGGGGAUCUGUAGCGAGGAAAGGGCAGGGGUCACUAGAGAUUGUUGGGGACAUUGGCUGGGGGGAGGGCAGGAGCUGCCUUAUAACCCAGCCCGGGUAGGGCCGGGCUCACUCACUGCUGACCAGGCUCUGCCCGCUUCUUCAGCCUCCUCGCAGGUGGGCGCCAGCAGGACUGAGCGGGGGUAGGGUUGGGUUGAAGGGGUCCAGAUUAGGAGAGGAGACCUGGCCGAUAGGAUGGGGGACUCGGAACGUAUCUGGGAGGCAGACCAGCUCGGGGACGGAUUUUAUUUUGGAGAGGGAGGUCAGGCCCAAGGGAAACGUUUCGCAGGGACUCUGGCCCCGCAUCCCCAGGACUUGCUUGGGCGGAGCGGUGACCAGUCAAUUUCCACGUCGUCUGGCUUUGCGUCGCGGUCGGGGCUUCAGGCCGGUUCGCCCCGGCCGCAGGCGGAGCGCGCGUGCGCGGGCAAGGUCGGCCCUCCGGGCCCCGGGAGCCGGCCCGGCACCGAAGGGGCCCGGAUGGGGCGGGGGCACUCGCCGGGAGGGACACCUGGCACUGAUGCCGCCGCGUCCCCGCGCCCCGCCAGCCUGGCCUCCUUCUUGCGCUCCCUGUGCGUCCACUCGCCGCCCUGUCCUCCGCCUCUCUUCCGCCAGGGCUAGUGACACAGAGAGGGGUGGGCCCCGCGCCCCAGCGCCCGCAAGUCCAGCCUGCGGACGAGGCCGGGAGACGCCGGACCUCCGGGUUCUGUUCCAAAGUGACACACGCUGCAUCAGCGCAGGCCGGAAGCUGGGGCUGCCCGGGGCCGCUGGGCCGGGCCUGGGAGGGGAAGCUGAGCCUCCGUCUUUUCGGGGUUUUCUACCCGCUUUUCCCCCACCCCCAUCCCCAUCUCCUUCGGUGCCCAAAACCGGCUGAGUCACGGCGCCCCAAACCGCGCCAGGAGGGGGGAAAAAAGGAGAGGGAGGGGAGGGCCGAGGGGACCCGCGGGAUGUG